rnacentral:misc_RNA from 1 species
UCCCCGUUAUCCGGGGCGGUUUCGCUAGAGUGCCCAGCUUGACCUGGUGGCAACUAACGAUAAGGGUUGUGCUCGUUGCGGGACUUAACCCAACAUCUCACGACACGAGCUGACGACAGCCAUGCAGCACCUGUGUUACGGUUCUCUUUCGAGCACUAAGCCAUCUCUGGCGAAUUCCGUACAUGUCAAAGGUAGGUAAGGUUUUUCGCGUUGCAUCGAAUUAAACCACAUCAUCCACCGCUUGUGCGGGUCCCCGUCAAUUCCUUUGAGUUUUAACCUUGCGGCCGUACUCCCCAGGCGGUCAACUUCACGCGUUAGCUUCGUUACCAAGGGAAUCAAUCCCCCGACAACCAGUUGACAUAGUUUAGGGCGUGGACUAC